rnacentral:lncRNA from 1 species
UCGAAGUCACUGACCCAUUCCCAUAAUGUAGAUUCUGAUAAAAUUCUCUAACUAGGUCAACAAAAGUGACUUCCUUAAGAGAGCAGUAGAAACCCCAACCUUGGUUUUUAAUUUUUGUUCCAAAGGUAAAACCCUCUUUUUCAAAGAACCGAAAAUCCAUAUUUUUUCCGGUUUCAACUUUCCUAUCAGAUAGAGGGAUCUUACUGGGGCUUAGGGAUGAUUGAGAAGGACCUUGAGCUGACAUAGAAGCCGGAGUGGGAGCAGUGGAGGACUGAGCAGCUUGCCUUUUUCUGCGGACAUUUUCUUCUAGCUCACGGACCGACUUUCUUCUCUGAGGGAGCUUCAUCUUCGGAGCCAUUCUUACCACAGUAGCAGGCAGAGAGACUUGGAGGAUCAAGUGGAUGAGUGGAAGAAGGGCUACAAAAGGAUGGAGAGGGAUUUUGGCGGAGAGAAGAGGCGGAUUUGAGAAGAACGGUGGAGGCUAGGGCACGCUCCAACCGUUUCAAUCAAAGGGAAAAGAC